rnacentral:rRNA from 1 species
UACAGAGGUCUCGAGCGUUAGGCGGAAUCACUGGGCUUAAAGCGUGUGUAGGCGGAUCGUUAAGUGCCUUGUGAAAUCCCACGGCUCAACCGUGGAACUGCUUGGCAUACUGGCGGUCUUGAGCAACCUAGGGGCGAGCGGAACAAAUGGUGGAGCGGUGAAAUGCGUAGACAUCAUUUGGAACGCCAAUGGUGAAAACAGCUCGCUGGGGGUUUGCUGACGCUGAGACACGAAAGCCAGGGGAGCAAACAGG